rnacentral:tRNA from 1 species
GGGUCUGUCGUUCAACGGCUAGGACGGAUCUCUUAUAAAGAUCAAACGAUAGUCCGACUCUAUCCAGACCCA